AUAUGCUUCUGCCUGAUAAGGGAAAUUUUUUAAACAAUUUAAAUUUCUUUCAUUCCUUUUUCUCCAAUGUCAGAUCCCAUGCAUCAGAAGUUACAGAUUAUUCUUAUCCAGCUACACCCAACCAUUCUCUGCAUCCCCAGUCGGUCACCCCUUCCUACACUGCCGGUGAUGCACCACAACAUGGGGCUGCAAACCAGGCCCCUGAACAUGAGUACCAGGCCCCCUCUGCCUCGGUGAGGCACAUGGCCCUAUACAGACUACAGCAGCUGCCACCACCACCACCACCCCAGAACCCAGAGGGGUCCCAGGCCUCUGCAUCAAUGGCUCCAGCAGAUUAUGGGAUGCUCCUGGCACAGAUAAUUGAGUAUUACAACCCUUCAGGACCACCUCCUCCUCCACCUCCACCCAUGAUUCCUUCAGCACAAACUGCUUUUGUCAGCCCUCUCCAGAUCCCCAUGCAGCCCCCCUUUCCUGCAUCAGCUGGUUCCACAUAUGCAGCUCCUCCUCAUCCACCCUCAGCUGGGCUCCUCAUCACAGCACCACCGCCUCCAGGUCCACCACCUCCCCCACCAGGCCCUCCUGGCCCCGGCUCUUCUCUUUCAUCCUCCCCAAUGCAUGGCCCUCUGUAGCUGAGGCAAAGCGUCCUGAGCCUGCACAGCCCCCAAUAAGUGAUGCUUGAAGUGACCUCCUUGCUACCAUCAGGAUGGGUAAGUGGAGCACCCCA
rnacentral:lncRNA from 1 species